rnacentral:ncRNA from 1 species
UACAUUUGCACCCGAAUAGAGAAAAUCUUUAUUCAUACAUAAUAAUCAUUUAAAUAAUAUUGGAAUG